rnacentral:pre_miRNA from 1 species
AAAGAGUCAAACCCUGAGUUUUCGUGUCCAACUUUGACUGUCCGUCUUAUAUGAAAUUUUUUUAUAAUUCGUAUUUUCAUUGUUGUUAGAUCAUAAAAUAUGAUUAAUAUUUUAUGCGUGACUUGUCUUUUUAUUUUUUUUUAUAUUUUUUUUAAAUAAGAUGGACGGUAAAACGUUAGAUACGGAAACC